rnacentral:sRNA from 1 species
CUUCGUCGAUCUGCUGCGGGCAGAUGAAAUGAAUGUGGGUGUCGAUGCCGCCAGCGGUAAUGAUGCAGCCCUCGCCGGCGAGGACCUCGGUGCAGGCGCCGACAAUCAUCGGGUUUUUGCGCCCUGUCUUGGGGUCGGCGUAUGCAGAACCGAGUCCGGACUGGAUGCCGGGAUUGCCGGCGUGGCCGAUGCCGACGAUGAGGCCGUGCUUGAUACCGAUGUCGGCUUUGAUGAUGCCGAGUUGUGCGUCGAGAAUCAGUGCGUUGGUAAUGACAAGGUCGAGUGACUCGGCAUCCGUGGCGGUGGACGACUGGCCCAUGCCGUCGCGGAUG